rnacentral:rRNA from 1 species
UACACAUGCAGUCGAGGGGUAUGGUUCUUCGGACCAGAGACCGGCGCACGGGUGCGUAACGCGUAUGCAAUCUACCUUUCACAGAGGGAUAGCCCAGAGAAAUUUGGAUUAAUACCUCAUAGCAUAGCAGUCUCGCAUGAGACCACUAUUAAAGAUUUAUCGGUGAAAGAUGAGCAUGCGUCCCAUUAGCUAGUUGGUNUGGUAACGGCAUACCAAGGCUACGAUGGGUAGGGGUCCUGAGAGGGAGAUCCCCCACACUGGUACUGAGACACGGACCAGACUCCUACGGGAGGCAGCAGUGAGGAAUAUUGGACAAUGGGCGCAAGCCUGAUCCAGCCAUGCCGCGUGCAGGAUGACGGUCCUAUGGAUUGUAAACUGCUUUUAUACAGGAAGAAACACCUCUACGAGUAGAGACUUGACGGUACUGUAAGAAUAAGGAUCGGCUAACUCCGUGCCAGCAGCCGCGGUAAUACGGAGGAUCCAAGCGUUAUCCGGAAUCAUUGGGUUUAAAGGGUCCGUAGGCG